GGGUUCGAUCAUACCAGCACUAAUGCUUCGGAUCGCAUCAAAACUCCGCGGUUAAGGGUGCUUGGGCGAGAGUAGUACUAGGAUGGGUGACCUCCUGGGAAGUCAUCGUGUUGCACCCC
rnacentral:rRNA from 1 species